rnacentral:rRNA from 1 species
UACGGAGGAUGCAAGCGUUAUCCGGAUUUAUUGGGUUUAAAGGGUGCGUAGGCGGAAUUGUAAGUCAGUGGUGAAAUCUUGCAGCUUAACUGUAAAAUAGCCAUUGAUACUGCGAUUCUUGAGUACACUUGAGGUAGGCGGAAUGUGUAAUGUAGCGGUGAAAUGCUUAGAUAUUACACAGAACACCAAUUGCGUAGGCAGCUUACUAAGUUGUAACUGACGCUGAUGCACGAAAGCGUGGGGAUCGAACAGG